UCAUACGGAGGAGGCAAGCGUUAUCCGGAAUUACUGGGCGUAAAGAGAUGCGUAGGCGGCCUGCCAAGCAGAUAGUGAAAUCCUGUGGCUCAACCACAUGGCUAUUGUCUGAACUGGUAGGCUUGAGAGCGGAAGAGGUCGCUGGAAUUCCCGGUGUAGGAGUGAAAUCCGUAGAUAUCGGGAGGAACACCAAUGGCGAAGGCAGGCGACUGGUCCGUUUCUGACGCUCAGGCUCGAAAGCGUGGGGAGCGAACGGGAUUAGAUACCCCGGUAGUCCACGCUGUAAACGAUGGAUGCUAGCUAUUUGGGAGUAUCGACCCUCUCAGAAGCGAAGCUAACGCGUUAAGCAUCCCGCCUGGGGAGUACGGUCGCAAGACUA
rnacentral:rRNA from 1 species